rnacentral:rRNA from 1 species
AAACUCAAAUGAAUUGGCGGGGCCCGUACAAGCGGUGGAGCAUGUGGUUUAAUUCGAUGCAACGCGAAGAACCUUACCUGGGCUUAAACUGCAGCGGAAAUCCGGUGAAAGCCGGCCCUCCUUCGGGAUCGCUGUAGAGGUGCUGCAUGGCUGUCGUCAGCUCGUGUCGUGAGAUGUUGGGUUAAGUCCCGCAACGAGCGCAACCCUUGUCCUUAGUUGCCAUCAGGUAAUGCUGGGCACUCUAGGGAGACUGCCUCGGAAGACGAGGAGGAAGGUGGGGAUGACGUCAAGUCCUCAUGGCCCUUACGUCCAGGGCUACACACGUGCUACAAUGGCCGGUACAGAGGGAUGCAAGACCGCGAGGUGGAGCCAAUCCCCAAAACCGGUCUCAGUUCGGAUUGGAGUCUGCAACUCGACUCCAUGAAGUUGGAAUCGCUAGUAAUCGCGAAUCAGCAGGUCGCGGUGAAUACGUUCCCGGGCCUU